rnacentral:rRNA from 1 species
AUGAUGCAACAAAUCUGGUCCAUUGAUCAAGCACAAGCUCUAGCCCUGAAGGCUCGGAGGUUUGUAAGGAUGAGAAAGACAACUAAGGCUCCAUAUCCUCCAUAUACCCAUACCGAAGGCUCAUCUAGGAGCCAACCUAAUAUAGUGGAAGAAAAGACCGCUCCACCAAAGGCAAAACAACCCAUCCCAAAGCAAACUAGAGGCAAGGGUAAGGCAAAUGAAGGCCCAAAGUGCUAUAAAUGUGGUAAAGAGGGACACAUAUCCAGCGGCUGCCCACUGAGAAAAUUUCUUAACACCAUUAUCCAUGAUGGUGAAGACGAUGAGGAAGAAUACGAAUAUGAAGAUGUAGAGGGACAAGAGGUUUGCCAAGAAGAAGGUGAAGAGGUGGUAUGUGUGAUUUAG